rnacentral:rRNA from 1 species
AAUCAACGCUGGCGGCGUGCCUAACACAUGCAAGUCGAACGCGAAAGCCCCGCAAGGGGUAAGUAGAGUGGCCAACGGGUGAGUAACACGUGGGUGACCUGCCUUCGAGUGGGGGAUAACGUCCCGAAAGGGACGCUAAUACCGCAUGACAUCCUGCUUUUGAAAAAGCGGAGAUCAAAGCUGGGGAUCGCAAGACCUAGCGCUUGAAGAGGGGCCCGCGCCUGAUUAGCUAGUUGGUGAGGUAACGGCUCACCAAGGCGACGAUCAGUAUCCGGCCUGAGAGGGCGGACGGACACACUGGGACUGAGACACGGCCCAGACGCCUACGGGAGGCAGCAGUGGGGAAUUGUUCGCAAUAGGCGCAAGCCUGACGACGCAACGCCGCGUGGAGGACGAAGAUCUUCGGGUCGUAAACUCCGGUCGAGCGGGACGAACGCUUCGCGGAUGAAUAAUCCGCGGAAUUGACGGUACCGCUAAAGGAAGCCCCGGCUAACUCCGUG